AGAGUUUGAUCCUGGCUCAGGACGAACGCUGGCGGCGUGCUUAACACAUGCAAGUCUACGAGAAAGAGGUAGCAAUAUCUCAAGUAAAGUGGCGCGAGGGUGAGUAAUAUGUAAGUAAUCUACCCAUGGGUUCGGAAUAACGUCGAGAAAUCGGCGCUAAUACCGAAUAAUGCAGCGGCAUCGCAUGAUGAUGUUGUUAAAGUUGUCCCGACUUGUCGGGAUAACUCCUAUAGAUGAGCUUGCAUCUGAUUAGCUAGUUGGUAGGGUAAUUGCCUACCAAGGCUACGAUCAGUAGCUGGUCUGAGAGGAUGAUCAGCCACACUGGAACUGAGACACGGUCCAGACUCCUACGGGAGGCAGCAGUGAGGAAUAUUGGGCAAUGGACGGAAGUCUGACCCAGCAACGCCGCGUGGAGGAUGAAUGCCGUAAGG
rnacentral:rRNA from 1 species